rnacentral:rRNA from 1 species
UACGUAGGGGGCAAGCGUUGUCCGGAAUCAUUGGGCGUAAAGAGCGUGUAGGCGGUCCGGUAAGUCGGCUGUGAAAGUCCAGGGCUCAACCCUGGGAUGCCGGUCGAUACUGCCGGACUAGAGUUCGGAAGAGGCGAGUGGAAUUCCCGGUGUAGCGGUGAAAUGCGCAGAUAUCGGGAGGAACACCUAUGGCGAAGGCAGCUCGCUGGGACGUUACUGGACGCUGAGACGCGAAAGCGUGGGGAGCAAACAGG